UACGUAGGGUGCAAGCGUUGUUCGGAAUCAUUGGGCGUAAAGCGCGUGUAGGUGGUUAUGUAAGUCGAGUGUGAAAUCCCUGGGCUCAACCGAGGAAGUGCACCCGAAACUACAUAGCUAGAGGACGGUAGAGGAAGGUGGAAUUCCUAGUGUAGAGGUGAAAUUCGUAGAUAUUAGGAGGAAUACCGGUGGCGAAGGCGGCCUUACUGGGCCGGACCUGACACUGAGACGCGAAAGCGUGGGUGGCAACAGG
rnacentral:rRNA from 1 species